CGGAGUACCGCUGCACGAGUAUAUUAUGGGUCUAAAGUCUGCGCUUGACUACGUUCGUACAACUACCUCAUGCCGACGAACCGUUGUGUCGCUAAAAUAACUUGCUUCUGUUAGCCCAUAACACUCACGAAAACCGUGUGGCUGGUAGUACGUACGUAGCUUUAGAGCAGCAAGAUACUACUUGUAGGUCGCCAAGGGUCGACCCAUACAGCAGAGGACUAUUUC
rnacentral:lncRNA from 1 species